rnacentral:sRNA from 1 species
GCUGGGCGCAGUGGCACAUGCCUGUAAUCCCAGCAGCUUGGGAAGCUGAGGCAGGAGGAUCUCGAGUUCAAAGCCAGCCUCAGCAACUUAGUGAGACCCUAUUUCUA